rnacentral:rRNA from 1 species
UAGGGAAUUUUCCACAAUGGACGAAAGUCUGAUGGAGCAACGCCGCGUGAACGAUGAAGGUCUUCGGAUUGUAAAGUUCUGUUGUCAGGGACGAACAAGUACCGUUCGAAUAGGGCGGUACCUUGACGGUACCUGACGAGAAAGCCACGGCUAACUACGUGCCAGCAGCCGCGGUAAUACGUAGGUGGCAAGCGUUGUCCGGAAUUAUUGGGCGUAAAGCGCGCGCAGGCGGCUAUGUAAGUCUGGUGUUAAAGCCCGGGGCUCAACCCCGGUUCGCAUCGGAAACUGUGUAGCUUGAGUGCAGAAGAGGAAAGCGGUAUUCCACGUGUAGCGGUGAAAUGCGUAGAGAUGUGGAGGAACACCAGUGGCGAAGGCGGCUUUCUGGUCUGUAACUGACGCUGAGGCGCGAAAGCGUGGGGAGCAAACAGG